rnacentral:rRNA from 1 species
UACGUAGGGGGCAAGCGUUGUCCGGAUUUAUUGGGCGUAAAGAGCGUGUAGGCGGCCUGAAAGGUCAGCUGUGAAAACUCGAGGCUCAACCUCGAGACGUCGGUUGAAACCAUCUGGCUAGAGUCCGGAAGAGGAGUGUGGAAUUCCCGGUGUAGCGGUGAAAUGCGCAGAUAUCGGGAAGAACACCCGUGGCGAAGGCGGCACUCUGGGACGGUACUGACGCGUGAGACGCGAAAGCGUGGGAGCAACAG